AGAGCCGUUCAAGACCAGGACGUUGAUAGGCUGGGUGUGUAAGCGUUGUGAGGCGUUGAGCUAACCAGUACUAAUUGCUCGUGAGGCUUGACCAU
rnacentral:rRNA from 1 species